rnacentral:rRNA from 1 species
UACAGAGGGGGCGAGCGUUGUUCGGAAUUACUGGGCGUAAAGGGCGCGUAGGCGGCCUGCUAAGUCAUACGUGAAAUCCCUCGGCUCAACCGAGGAACUGCGUCUGGAAUACUGGUUGGCUUGAAUUCGGGAGAGGGAUGCGGAAUUCCAGGUGUAGCGGUGAAAUGCGUAGAUAUCUGGAGGAACACCGGUGGCGAAGGCGGCAUCCUGGACCGAGAUUGACGCUGAGUGCGCGAAAGCCAGGGGAGCAAACGGGG